rnacentral:rRNA from 1 species
UAAAGAAUUAUCAAAUUCUUCAAACACCUCUGUGUAUCGGUAGUCGUUGCUUCCACGGUUGCGCAGGCUCUUGGGCAGCCUGUGUGGCCAACCGUCAAAGGUAUGGUCCGCCGUGGAAGGUUCAUUAAAAAUCCAUUGUGCUUUUGAUUGCGUCCGAACACAAGUGAAUGUAAAAUUCGAGUUCAAAACUUUCAACAACGGAUCUCUUGGUUCUCGCAUCGAUGAAGGGCGCAGCGAAAUGCGAUAAGUAGUGUGAAUUGCAGAAUUCCGUGAAUCAUCGAGUUCUUGAACGCAUAUUGCGCCUCCAGGCAUUCCUGGAGGCAUGCCUGUUCGAGUGUCAUCAAAUACCCUCAGGAAUGGAUUUUGGAAUUCGCUCCUGGUAUUGAUUGCGUAGCAGGCGGCACCGUUGCCUUUGCUUCCGAUCGAAUUCCAUUGGCGCCAGCUGCGUCUUUCCCUUCGGCAUAAUAGCAUUGUUACCUUGCCGUCGUGAGAUCGGCUGGCUGCCCGCUUCUGUACAUUGUUCGAUUCUAUAACCUCGAAUCAGGCAAGAGCACCCGCUGAACUUAAGCAUAUCAAUAAGCGGAGG